UACGUAGGGUGCAAGCGUUGUCCGGAAUUAUUGGGCGUAAAGGGCUCGUAGGCGGUUUGUCGCGUCGGGAGUGAAAACUCAGGGCUUAACCCUGAGCCUGCUUCCGAUACGGGCAGACUAGAGGUAUGCAGGGGAGAAUGGAAUUCCUGGUGUAGCGGUGAAAUGCGCAGAUAUCAGGAGGAACACCGGUGGCGAAGGCGGCUCACUGGACCGGUACUGACGCUGAGGCGCGAAAGCGUGGGGAGCAAACGGG
rnacentral:rRNA from 1 species